rnacentral:antisense_RNA from 1 species
AUGGCGGCCAGAUCGGCUGCUCGGACCUCCCAGGCGACUUUGCCCCACUGCGCCUCCGCACUCUUCUCCUUUCCAUUUCUGGACCAAGGGGCUGCCAUAAGGAGUCUGUGACUAGAGAUGGGAGGUGGUGGCCACGGCCUCUCGCUGUAUGCUGUGUGCAAGGUCGAAGUAUCAUCAUCAUAAAACUUAAUAUUGCCCUUAUGUGCCAGGAAGUACUAUCUCAGCAAUGGAGAUGUGGUGCUUGGCCGCAAUCGUGAAUCGGCCCUGGAGGGGACACAGGAAGGGGCUGCCUGUGACUCAUGACCUCCUGCAUGCCCGCCUGCUGACCCAUGACCCUUCAAGUUCCCACCCCUCAGCCACGCCUGUGAGGAGGGUCUUUUUUUGUCGCCUAUGCUGGAGUGCAGUGGUGUGAUCACAGCUCACUGCAGCCUCAACUGCCUGGACUCAAGCAAUUUUCCUGCCUCAACCUCCCAAGAACUAGGACCCCAGAUACCCAUGGACAAGGCACUUGCACGAAUUGUGAGGCUCAUGGAGUUGGGGUCGGACAACACAGAGCCGGCUCCCUCCAGGAGCUGCAUGUCCAGAGAGGGAAACAGGAUGUGGACACCAAGAAUGAAUACAUGCAGACCA